UACGUAGGCAGCAAGCGUUGUUCGGAGUUACUGGGCGUAAAGGGUGCGUAGGCGGCCCUGUAAGUAUGGUGUGAAAUCUCCCGGCUUAACUGGGAGGGUGCGCUAUAGACUGCGGGGCUCGAGUGUGGGAGAGGAAAGUGGAAUUCCUGGUGUAGCGGUGAAAUGCGUAGAUAUCAGGAGGAACACCUGCGGUGUAGACGGCUUUCUGGACCAUUGCUGACGCUGAGACACGAAAGCGUGGGUAGCAAACAGG
rnacentral:rRNA from 1 species